UUUAUUUUAUUUUGUUUUAUUUUUGUUUCACUUAUUCUUAUUGUAGUUUAUAUGACUUAUAUGGGGUUGGUACUUUCUUGUCCUUAGCUGUUUGCAUUUAGAAUGCAUUUUAAUUGUUAUUUCUCUUUGCAGUAAUCCUUUAGUUUCAUGUUUGAGAUCUUUAAUGAUAAAUUUCUUUAAUUAAAUAAGGGAUACCCUUAAAUUGUUUCUAUUUAUUGAUAUUAUUUAAAUUAAUUUUUUUUUAGUUAAUAAAGGGGUAAACAAUGGUGUAAUUUUGAUUUAAGGGCAAGUUUAACUUAAACCACUUUAAAAUUAAAUAUAUUAAUACAAUUUUUGGUUUAACGGCAAAUUUGCCUUAAAUCAUUUAAAGUUAAAAAUGAAUAAUAAAUAAAUAUAG
rnacentral:misc_RNA from 1 species